rnacentral:tRNA from 1 species
GCGGAUGUCAUUGAGUGGUAAAAUUUAUCUUUUCCAGGGGAAGAUGCGAGUUCUAUCCUCGUUAUCCGCC